ACAUGAGAUGCUCUCUUCAGUCCGGGGCUUGGUUGAACGGACUCACCAGGAAACGUGACUUUCGUGUCCGACCUCUGCUGUAUCAGGAUUCGAUUCUUGGUGUUAAACAAGACAACGCUGAAGGCUCGGUGCAGCAGCCCUGCAAAGGGAAUAUGAGGAGAGAAGCACGAUGGACGCAUGACUCCGCUGACUUUGGCACGGAUAAUACAGAACAAAAAUAACACAGCAGCAGUGAUGGGUAAUAUUCUAUAAAAAGAUUAAUGUGUUUUGCUCUUUUGUCUUUCCAUAAGUUCACCUUUAUGCAUGUAAUUUUUAGUUACGUAGAAAAUCAAAAGGCUAUGCCUGAAAUGUUUUCCCUGGAAAUCAGUUCUGAGACUCAGGAAUAAAUGGUCUGUUUGAAACUUGUUUCUUUUGCAGUCAGAAGAGUAAGAAUGGGAGAAUGAUACUCUUUUAAAGAUCUAAAAAAUAAUAAAUAAGUCUAUGAAUUAGGCUUUGAGGAAGAAACUAAUAUACAAUACCGUACCUAUUAUAAUCCAACAACUCUAAUAGUAAUAAUAAUAAUAGUAAGACAGCCAGACACACAUUGUGUCCUUCCUUUGUGCCAGUUUCUAUUUUAAGAGUUUAAUGUAUAUUAAUUCAUUUGGUCCUCACGACAGCUUUCUGAGAUAAGCGUUAUUUUUUAUUAUCACAGCAUCGAUAAGGAACUGAAGCACAGAGAGGUAAAUUACCUGCCCAAGGCAAUGUGGCUGCAGAUGCAGCUGAGCCCCCAGAAUCUGUGCAGUUUAACAUGUUGGGAUCGUCACCACCAAACUAAGCACUGAAAGCUUUAGAGGCAAAUGUUAUCAAAAUUUCAAGGAAGGAAUUGUCAUUCUCUGUAAAAUGUUCUAGGGGAUAAAAAAGGAGGGAAACCCUUUGCUAGGUUGAUCUGGGUACAAGGUUCUGACACAUAAAGCACACAAAAAACAUUAUAAAGGAAAGGAAGGAAGACAUUUUGAUUAGGCUAUAUGCGGAGAAUUUUCUUAAGAGAGGUUAUGACAACUUUAAGAAUGACAGUUGAUGACCUAUAAUGCUGCAGGUAGGAGGUUAAGAAUAAACUCUAGGAAUAGAUGAUUACAUCUGAUUAAGGCAAAUUAGAAGCAACAGAAAGGGCUCUAGAUAUCAGUGAAAUAUAGAGAAGGACAUGGAGGCCAAGACUGGGAAAAGCAGGUAAAAAGAAAUGGAAGUGGAAAGAGUUAAAAAGGAGUAGGCCAAGUAUUGUAGGUAUGAAAGAGAGGGUAAAACAAAUACAGCAUGUGCUAAAAGGGGUAUCCUUGAACAAGAGAGCCAUAAUAAUAAAGAAAAAUAUCCCAGACACACAAGAUGACUUAAACCCACAGAUGGAAAGGGCUUGCCAUGUUCCAGAAAUACUGACACAUUAUCGUCGACACUGGGGUAAACUUCUCAGAUCUCUGAGAAAACUG
rnacentral:lncRNA from 1 species